UACGUAGGGUGCAAGCGUUGCUCGGAAUUAUUGGGCGUAAAGGGUAGGUAGGUGGUCUCAUUUGUCUGAGGUGAAAGCCUUGGGCUUAACCCAAGAAGGGCCUCAGAAACGGUGAGACUAGAGUACUGGAGAGGGUCGUGGAAUUCCCGGUGUAGCGGUGAAAUGCGUAGAUAUCAGGAGGAAUACCGGUGGCGAAAGCGACUCUCUGGACGGCAACUGACGCUGAGGCACGAAAGCGUGGGGAGCAAACAGG
rnacentral:rRNA from 1 species